GGGGCCUUGAAAACUCCAGCACAAGGAGAUACCGACAGCCCUGGUGCUGUGAGCUGCUCCCCCAUGGAGCACAAUGACCUUGGGGCUGUGAACGCUCUGGGCACAGCAAGGAACAAGCCUGGGAGGUGUGCACGGCCCUGCUUGGAUAGUUGGGAUGGAUGUGCCCGGCUCCUGGAGCACGGCCCAAGGAGAGCCACGGGACUGGGCGUGAGCACAGCCCCAGGUGAGCUCCAGCAGAGGGGAGCUGGAACCCCAACACCACCACGCUGGCAAGGAGGACAGAGGGUCCCCACCAUCAGCCUGGGCAGCACUAUGGAGGGCCUCUUGUUGCUCACGCAGCUAUAACCGGGUUAACCAGCACUCUUCGGCUGGGUCGUUAAAGCCUUGAAGCAGGCGAACAGCGGGUUCACCUCUGCUCCUGUUUCUUGUAGUUUUGAAGCAACCCUUUCUGUAAAGACAGAAAUACCCUUAGGAGAGCCAAAGGAAAAGAAAAAGAAAAGAGAAUCUCCCAGUUUAAAGCAGAAGGGUAACUGUUGUGCUCCCAAAAGCCGCCUCUCCCCGCAGUUUUGGACAAAAUGGCAGAGCUGGCUAACUGGGUUAUUCAGUGGGGCCCCAACCCCUGGGGUCCCAACUCCUGCAGAAGCAUCCAGCAAGCAGACCUGGAGUUUGCCAGGUUGAAAGAAAUGGCCAAGCUGAAACUUUUCUCCCGCAAAUCCCUGAAGUGUGCGGGAGCCUGGGCCGUGUGGUUAGCGGCCAAAAGUCAGGCUGAGGAGAAGGAGGCGGCCCAAGCCGAGAUCCAGAGGCUGAAGGAGGAGAACGGCAAGCUGAAAGCGGAGAUAAAGGCCCAGCGGCUGAAGCUGGAGGAGGGCAAAACUCGGGAGAGCAUUGCGGCUGUGGAGCAGGUGAGAAGCGUCCUCCAGUACCAGGAGGUGUGCGAACAGAAGAAGGCGGUUCUGAGCGAGAACAAGGCGCUGAAAGACAAACUGGCUGUCAGCACGAGGACCGUCGAGGAGUUUCAGGGAGCGAUCCGAGCGCUGGUGCAGAAAAUACAGGCCCUGAAAGAGAAGGGCGCGGACCACCGAGCCUGUGAGGCCAGGGUGGAGAAGUUAAAGGCAGCCUUAGGGGCAAAGCACAGCGCGGCCGCCGCGGCCCUCGCCAAAACAACCUGCCAGGGAGGCAGCGAGCCCUGGGAUGGAGCAGCGUGGCUCGAUUCAGAGGGCAGCCCCUGUGAGGAGAAGCGCGGGGCUGCAAGCCCCUGUCUGCCAGCUUGUGAGGGGGGGGAGAGGGGUCAGGCAAGCCCCGUCACGCUUCCCGGUGCCCAGGCUGCUGUGAAAAGGGAAAGCGGGGGGAUGGAGGAGGGGGAGAGCAGGGGAGAUUUGCACCUGCAGGCAGAUGGAGGAACCGGGGGGGAACCGACUGGUGCCCCAGCCCCGCACCAGCACAAGGCAGCCAGCGGCCAGGCCUCAGGGCCCGCCUGGGCACGGGAGGACGGAGGGGGCUCUGGUAGAGGGCGCGGUGGCAAAGGGUGGAGAAAUCCUGAGAACAAAAGGGACUGGGGAGUGCUGCAGACCCCCGGCCUGGCCGCUGCCUCGCCCCUGCUCCCAUCGGGAGGGAGGUGGCCGGGCAGGAGGCCGUGGCAGAGCGGCACGGGCUCCAGGCUGGGGGCGAGGGGUAACGUGGCCAGGAGGGAGCUGGGCACGAUGCGCGUGGACAUAUGGCGGCAGCUGAGGCAGCACGGGGAGGACAUGGCCCGCUGGGAUAACGCCCCGACCAGGGCGCUGCUGGAGCGGCUGCUGGAGCUCAGCGGGAGCAGGGAGGGGAGCAGGGCUGGGGCACCCGCCCUCCCCGUGGUGGUGUAGGGCAGCCGCUGCCCUUCCCCGCGCUGCGGCCGGAGCAGAACGGGGCGUGGGGACCCAGGGCACGUGGAGAACUGGGUGUGGGAUGCGACUGCUGCAACCCGAGCGGGCGUCUCUGGUGGAGAGGAUGCAGGAGAAUGAAACGUUGAACUGGGGGGGGGGGGGUUGGUUAUGGGGGCUUCCGGGGUGGGAGGUUGGUUUGUUUUUACAGGAGGGAAGAUGACUCUUCCAGUAGGAGAUGGGAGCGGGCCUUGCCGUGCCCCCCACCUGCUGGGCUGCAGGGAGUGCAGGCAGCGGCACCAAACCUUGCUUGGGCCAAGCGGGCAGGGCUGCUCUUAGGAACAAAACCAUGCGAGUUCCAGGCAUGUCCAUACACGGGAGAGAGCCCAGGCUGUGGGACUGGCUGCAGCAUUUAUUCUGGUGUUAACAGCAGCGCUGUUAUUUUUCUUAGAAUGAAGAAUUAAAAUAAAGAAGAGAGGGAGAGAUCAUGUUAAAGCAUUUGUAUUAAUGUCACAACCGCCCUCUUAAACUGCAAAGUUCUUCUGUUACAGAGAAGGGAUGGAGCAAACAGAUAACAAACGGGGACGGAGGAUUUGCAAGCAGCUGUCUGAGAACAAGAGCUAAUAAACUGCAUAGAAAUAUGCAAGCAAAGAUGCAGCUUCCUUGAUCUUUAAUACCACCAGAAAGUCCUCUGGCUGUAAAUGGUCUGCAUUGGGUAACGGAGGUAAUACCAAUAACAACGUUUGGUAUUCUUGUCUUCCAUAGGUAGCCCAGAAGAAUAAGCAUCCAUUCCAAAGUAUUACUGUUACUAAUUGCACGUUGCCUUGCUUCCUCUUACCAGACUUUAUGUUGCUUUGUUAUCAGACAGGCACAGAUGCAAUCCUUCACUUUUUCCACAUCGGUUGCUGCAGUUCAAAGAGAAAAAUAGAAACACAGUGAGGCAGCAGAGGAAGAAAUGGAUCCAAUCUAAAGGGGUCCCCGUCUCCAAACAGGAGAAAUUCUGUUUCCCUUGAUGAGGGUGGGCACACCUCCUGUUAUGGAUGGUGGUUGUGAUUAACGGACUAAUAUUGCACGUGAUGCAAUGCCCUUAUACGUAACACAGGAAACAUAGCUGUGUAGCUAUGUGGCUGUGGCUCUGUGAAUCUGUAAAACAUUGUGAUGUGAGCGCAGUGAGAAGCUGAGAAGAAAAAGUGAGUAAAUUCUGUCUAGACAUCUAAUGUACAAUAAAUUACAUUGAAAUAUAUACGUAUCGUUAACGUAGCUUUGCCAGACUGGAACGCAUCUUCACGCAGCAUGGCUUUAAGUAUAUUUUAGAGCACCGAUGUAUAAACUGAUGGCACUGGGAUGGGUAGAAAAUUAAAGGUCCUCUAGUAAUGCGGGUGUCAAGAUGCUACGUAAGCACAUUAUGUGUUGCUCUGAUGAAAUGUUGUGUUUUGUUAAGGAGGAGAUGAUGAGGUGACUUCAGCAGCUUACACGGGAGCUUGGGAUGAGAGCUGUGUGCACCGGUGCUGAUGAGAAGGGUAACAGCAAUUGGGAAGCACUUAAUUGCAUAUGAGAGGGUAGUGGGUUGCAGUCAUCCAUUUAGAACAGUUUACCCUGAUGCGAAUAUGAAGUUCAUCCUCUGUUUUCUGAUGGGCUCAUAAUUGUCUGUGAGGGAUGCAGCUGUGUUUGUGUGCAUCCCCAAUGCCCAGAAAUCGCCUCUGCACAUGUAAGCUGUCUGAUCAUACGUGCAUAUGUAAAAGGGCUUGAAUUGAAACGUGUGGUUUUAAUCAAUGUUUUUUAGAGGUGACACUGAAAUCACUAGAAACAUUUUAACUCUGUACUAAAUGAAUUCUAUUAAUGCUUGGUGUAGGUUUGAGCUAUUGUUGCCAAUAACAGAGCAUCCAGUUUGUACAUUUGUGGUCCCACAGGCAGUAAAACGAGCCACCAAAGCAAGGUUUGCAGUGCACAACAAGAAUGAGCAAGUUGCUGUUGUUACAGCCACACAAAAAAAGAGAUGCUGAGCAUCAUUCUUGGUGUAAAUCCCUCCCCAGUGAGACUCAAUCAGUGACUGAAAUGUUAAACCAGUACUCUGGGAGUGUAAUCUUGGGUACUGGGAGAGCUUGGUUAAUUGUGCCAAUUAUCCAGGCUAUUAAAAUCAAAUAUUCAGUAAAUUGCGUGGUGGCUAUGCAGCAAAACCAAGAGCCACAGACCCCUCCUCAGACCCACACGAGGCAAGACCAGAUAGGAAAGAGCAAACGCCUCCAAGAAGAUCAAUUGCUCGGUCCUGGCCAGGAGCCUUGAGCCACUGGAGGGUCUGCAAAGUCCUUGCUGGACUCGUGUGUGACAGCUCACGUUCACCGACUGCCAGGAAGGGUCUGUCUGUAGGCUUUACAGCCCAUGAGACGUGGUCCUGCCAUUGCCAAAAGCAUGGGCUGUGUUCUAGCACUGCAAAACAUAGAGGUGGAGGUUUGUCAGCCUUGCCUUGUUGGAAUUUGCUGUGCAGGGAACUUCGCCUGAACUUGCAUAGCUGUAACAGCUACCAUCUAAUGAUGCCUUGGCCAUCACCUACCAGCACGGCAAGCUCUUCUGGAGCUGCAGGAGAAACACAGCACGGGGAAGCAGGCAGGUAUGGCCGUGGGGCCUGGAAACCUUCAGGAACACAGCGAGGAACAAUCCCAUGAGGUGCACACAUACCAUACAGCUCCAAGAACAUGGUGGGGAGAGCCUCAGAACCGGGUGUGAGCAGCCCCAGGCGGGCUCCAUCAGAGGGGAGGCAGGAACCCAAGCACCACCACGCUGGAGAGGAGGAUGGAGGAGCACCACCAUCAUCACACACCGCUGGGGUGAAGGCCUCAGGGCCACAGUGCACGCAGCCCUCCCCAGGUGGCAGAGGGGGGAGCACAACACAGAGGAGGCUGCAGCUAAGCAUAUCUGUGCGUGUGCUUUGAUACUGAUAUUGUUAAGGUUUUUUUUUUCUUGUAUCCCCUUUCUAAUAUUUUAGAUAAUACAAUUUAUCACUGUUAGAACCAUUAUAAGUGGGUGAGUGAACACUCUUUGGUCAGACUGUUAAAACUUAAG
ensembl:lncRNA